UGCCACUGUGCAGACUAGUUGGUUGGAUUUGCUCUAUGCAGUGAGCUGAUCCCAGUAUAGCAGUGGAUACAAGAACAUCAGGUUUUGCUUUCAUCUCAGCACUUCUGAUUGCUGAAUGGUGACAAUGAGGCCUGGCACAUGG
rnacentral:snoRNA from 12 species